rnacentral:lncRNA from 1 species
UGAUUACAAAGAUGCUAUUUUUAUCUGGAGGAAAAUUCAAUUAUAGACAUUGACCUUUAAGGAUUUUUUUCCGCCAGCUCACGUGAGGCGGGGCGGUGCGGAAGGGGUGCCUGCGCGUCUCCAGGGACGGUGCCUCCCACGCAGGGCCGAGUUCACGGCCGGAAGUCCGGAGGGGUCUGCGGCGGGGGCAGUGACUGCCUUUUCUCAUCUUUAAUUUUGAGACAGGGUCUUGGUAAUUUGCCAAGGCUGGGUUCAGUGUGGAGAUCCUCCUGCCUCAGCCGCCGUAGUACCUGGGAGGACGGGCGUGUGCCCUGCGCUGUGCCUCUCCUGCGGCCGCGGGCGCAGUGGGCGGUGCUGCGGGCGCCGUCUUUGCGUGGAUUGCCCGCCUGGCUCUGAUCGCGUUUGCUUCUUCCAGAUAAAUCUCCCAGGUGCCGCAGAAGUGGGGUUCAGGAAACGGGCUGGGAAUCCCUGAAAGAUUUAAUUGGCCCGGAAGUGUUAACUGUGUGGGAGCCUUGCUCUAGGUGCUGGGCGGAGGGCUGAGCACAGCAGGGAAGCUGCGGUCCACCCCACAAAGACAGCAGUCGGGUGGCGAUGUGAGCCACGAGUACCAGCCAAGCGGCGAGGGAGACUGGGCGCGGGCGGCAGCCGGAGGGGCCUCGGCCAGCAGCUCAGGUGUCCCAGGAGAGCUGGGGUAAGGGAGGAGGAGGGCGCGGCUGUGCAAAGGCCCUGGGGCAGCACAGAGCAGGCACAGAGCAGAAGCAGAAGGUGCUGGAGCAAAGGCAGAGAGGGCGCAGGGGAGGCAGGGAGGGAACGGGUGGCCGUGCAGGACCCUGCGGGCUGCGGAAGGAUCCCGGCUUUGCCCCAGGGAGGUGGGAGCCGGUGGACAGCAGAGGAAGGGCACAUUGUUCGGUGCCCACAGCGCGCUCUACUGGCCGCUGCGGGAAGGAUAGGCUGCGGGGUGAGGCCCAGGCCGAGGGGUCCCGGCCGACCCGCCGUGAUGGGGCUGGGCAGCGGCUGCAGAGGGAUGAGGGGAUGGGUGGAGCAGCGCCCAUCGCUUGGGGAGCAGGGACCCAGGCCGCGUGAGGAGUGCACCCCGGGAGCAAGGAACCUGCCACGGCGGACGCUGCUGGGCCUGUGGGGGAGAUGGGGUCGGGGAGGCGACCACAGGCUCUGGACCCCGACGGGUCAGCUCUGUGAGGGCCGCCGUGGACGGGGAGGACGGUCCUCGUCUCGGCUGGGCCAGCCCGGUCUGCAGUGGGAGCACCCUGGGGACAAGCUCCUCCCGCUACCCGGUCAGCCUGGAGCUGGGGUGACGUGGGCAGGUCGGGGAGCAGGGCGGGGGCGGGUGGGGCCUUCAUCACGGUUAGCAGGGCUGCCACCCGCCAGCCGCACACCCGGGCACGCGCAGGCCCCCCACCCCACCCCGUUCCCCCCAGCGUCCGUUUUAACCCAUUCGCCCAGAGCACCGUGCGGGGCCCCGUGCGCUGUGCCGCCCUGGGCCGGUCCUGCCCACUCGGGUCACCCGGUGGCCCUGCCCUCCCUGCCCCGCGGCCACAGUCAUGGCCCCGCCGUCUCCGGGUGCAUGGACCCAACCCUGUGGCUGUCCCCUCCUGGGGCUGUGCCACGGUGUGGCCCGCCCAUCAGAAGUCUCCUCGGCGACCGUCUGGGGUCCAAGCUCAGGGCCCUGACACCCGCUGCGCGCCCUUGGGGCUGGUCUGGGGCGGCGCGGUGGGGCAGCGGGUGGCUUCGCAGCCCGGGCUUUGCUCCCUGGUGCCCGCAGCACGGCUCCUCCUGUGGAACCAUCCCCUCCUGGAGAGAGCAGCUGUCACAGUCUGCGGUGAUCGUCCCCGUUGCUCUGCUCGUCUGUCCCUCCCCCAGGAGACAGGCGCAUGGCCAUGCUCCAGCAGCCGCCAUCUGUGAAGACAGAAGAAGCUGGGUCACGUGA